rnacentral:lncRNA from 1 species
CUUUUUCGAGGUGGCCGCCUGGGUGUAGUGAAGGCUGCUGCAGUUCUCUGCCUGCUGCGGUUCACGCCGUACUCUUCCUUAGUCUCGCUGCCACCCGCACUGCGCUCCUUUGGGUUGCCUCACGAUGCUACGGAAUGUUGAGCGCGGCACCAAGGCCGCGGACCUGCCGGCCUGGCAGAGCGGAGGUCCAUUAGGCCACAUCGGCCGCAGGCCCAGUGAGAGGGGCCGGACCCCUUGAAGGCCGCGCCCUGCUCCAGCCUGGCCCCGAGCGGCCCUGCGCUCCAGUGUGAUGGAACGUCCCAGCAGGUGAAUUGGUGAUAGUCGUAAUGCACGUGAUUUAGGUGAGUCUGAGGGCGGAGUGUUCCGGCUGCCGUGUGACCUAGAAUGCCCUGCGGCCCUUAUCGAAGCUGCGGCUGCUUCCACAUAGCUGCUGUGGUCAAAAAGGAGCCCAGAGUGACAGUUUUCCUUGACGGUCGCCGUUCUGUUUGCUGUAACUGAUCUGCAACAUUUCAGGAAAAGACAGUUCCCUUGGUACCUGCCAUUGCUCGGGUCUGCCAUUGAAGAGUCCAGGCUGACUGAAGUUGACCUUUCCAGUGAGGGAAGACUCAGGUCAUGACACUGAUGGAACACAGUAUUCUGAGGACCCGGUUACCCCUGGGUUUUAUUGGCAGUUCCCGAAAGUGCUGAAGUAUCUGAAGACACCAGCUUUUCCUGGAGCUGUGCUUUACACUAAGAUUUUUUAUCAGUAAAGCUGUCAUCCAUCUCUGAUUGUGGAUCUACAGUUGGGAGAGAGACACUACACAAAGAGGCAAAUGAAGAGACAAGAAGCUCUUUUAGGUGUAAAAACUGACUUUUUGCACAUGUUGGUACAUGGUGUAUAAAUGACCAAUAAAAGACUCCUGGAU